GUAAACCGGAACGGUACCGGACCGGUAACCCCCUAUCCCUUCAGUUUGCCCAUCCAUUAAGUUGGGCACUCCUGUGGAGACUGCCGGUGUCAAACCGGAGGAAGUGGGGAUGACGUCAAGUCCUCAUGGCCCUUAUGACCAGGGCUACACACGUGCUACAAUGGCCGGUACAAAGAGUUGCGAUACCGCGAGGUGGAGCUAAUCUCAUAAAAGCCGGUCUCAGUUCGGAUUGGAGUCUGCAACUCGACUCCAUGAAGUUGGAAUCGCUAGUAAUCGCGGAUCAGCAUGCCGCGGUGAAUACGUUCCCGGGCCUU
rnacentral:rRNA from 1 species